rnacentral:rRNA from 1 species
UCCUCCCUCUUUCCUCGUGCUUAACACAUGCAAGUCGAACGGAAAGGCCCUGCUUUUGUGGGGUGCUCGAGUGGCGAACGGGUGAGUAACACGUGAGUAACCUGCCCUUGACUUUGGGAUAACUUCAGGAAACUGGGGCUAAUACCGGAUAGGAGCUCCUGCUGCAUGGUGGGGGUUGGAAAGUUUCGGCGGUUGGGGAUGGACUCGCGGCUUAUCAGCUUGUUGGUGGGGUAGUGGCUUACCAAGGCUUUGACGGGUAGCCGGCCUGAGAGGGUGACCGGCCACAUUGGGACUGAGAUACGGCCCAGACUACUACGGGAGGCAGCAGUGGGGAAUAUUGCACAAUGGGCGGAAGCCUGAUGCAGCAACGCCGCGUGCGGGAUGACGGCCUUCGGGUUGUAAACCGCUUUCGCCUGUGACGAAGCGUGAGUGACGGUAAUGGGUAAAGAAGCACCGGCUAACUACGUG